CAAUAGCGUAUAUUAAAGUUGUUGCAGUUAAAAAGCUCGUAGUUGAAACUUGGGCCUGGCUGGCGGGUCCGCCUCACCGCGUGCACUCGUCCGGCCGGGCCUUCCUUCUGAAGAACCUCAUGCCCUUCACUGGGCGUGCUGGGGAAUCAGGACUUUUACUUUGAAAAAAUUAGAGUGUUCAAAGCAGGCCUUUGCUCGAAUACGUUAGCAUGGAAUAAUAAAAUAGGGCGUGCGUUUCUAUUUUGUUGGUUUCUAGAGACGCCGCAAUGAUUAACAGGAACAGUCGGGGGCAUCAGUAUUCAGUUGUCAGAGGUGAAAUUCUUGGAUUUACUGAAGACUAACUACUGCGAAAGCAUUUGCCAAGGAUGUUUUCAUUAA
rnacentral:rRNA from 1 species